CUGAAUAGGGCGUUUAGUAUUUGGUCGUAGACCCGAAACCAGGUGAUCUACCCUUGGUCAGGUUGAAGUUCAGGUAACACUGAAUGGAGGACCGAACCGACUUACGUUGAAAAGUGAGCGGAUGAACUGAGGGUAGCGGAGAAAUUCCAAUCGAACCUGGAGAUAGCUGGUUCUCUCCGAAAUAGCUUUAGGGCUAGCCUCAAGUGAUGAUUAUUGGAGGUAGAGCACUGUUUGGACGAGGGGCCCCUCUCGGGUUACCGAAUUCAGACAAACUCCGAAUGCCAAUUAAUUUAACUUGGGAGUCAGAACAUGGGUGAUAAGGUCCGUGUUCGAAAGGGAAACAGCCCAGACCACCAGCUAAGGUCCCAAAAUAUAUGUUAAGUGGAAAAGGAUGUGGCGUUGCCCAGACAACUAGGAUGUUGGCUUAGAAGCAGCCAUCAUUUAAAGAGUGCGUAAUAGCUCACUAGUCGAGUGACACUGCGCCGAAAAUGUACCGGGGCUAAACAUAUUACCGAAGCUGUGGAUUGUCCUUUGGACAAUGGUAGGAGAGCGUUCUAAGGGCGUUGAAGCAUGAUCGUAAGGACAUGUGGAGCGCUUAGAAGUGAGAAUGCCGGUGUGAGUAGCGAAAGACGGGUGAGAAUCCCGUCCACCGAUUGACUAAGGUUUCCAGAGGAAGGCUCGUCCGCUCUGGGUUAGUCGGGUCCUAAGCUGAGGCCGACAGGCGUAGGCGAUGGAUAACAGGUUGAUAUUCCUGUACCACCUAUAAUCGUUUUAAUCGAUGGGGGGACGCAGUAGGAUAGGCGAAGCGUGCGAUUGGAUUGCACGUCUAAGCAGUAAGGCUGAGUAUUAGGCAAAUCCGGUACUCGUUAAGGCUGAGCUGUGAUGGGGAGAAGACAUUGUGUCUUCGAGUCGUUGAUUUCACACUGCCGAGAAAAGCCUCUAGAUAGAAAAUAGGUGCCCGUACCGCAAACCGACACAGGUAGUCAAGAUGAGAAUUCUAAGGUGAGCGAGCGAACUCUCGUUAAGGAACUCGGCAAAAUGACCCCGUAACUUCGGGAGAAGGGGUGCUCUUUAGGGUUAACGCCCAGAAGAGCCGCAGUGAAUAGGCCCAAGCGACUGUUUAUCAAAAACACAGGUCUCUGCUAAACCGUAAGGUGAUGUAUAGGGGCUGACGCCUGCCCGGUGCUGGAAGGUUAAGAGGAGUGGUUAGCUUCUGCGAAGCUACGAAUCGAAGCCCCAGUAAACGGCGGCCGUAACUAUAACGGUCCUAAGGUAGCGAAAUUCCUUGUCGGGUAAGUUCCGACCCGCACGAAAGGCGUAACGAUUUGGGCACUGUCUCAACGAGAGACUCGGUGAAAUCAUAGUACCUGUGAAGAUGCAGGUUACCCGCGACAGGACGGAAAGACCCCGUGGAGCUUUACUGUAGCCUGAUAUUGAAAUUCGGCACAGCUUGUACAGGAUAGGUAGGAGCCUUUGAAACGUGAGCGCUAGCUUACGUGGAGGCGCUGGUGGGAUACUACCCUAGCUGUGUUGGCUUUCUAACCCGCACCACUUAUCGUGGUGGGAGACAGUGUCAGGCGGGCAGUUUGACUGGGGCGGUCGCCUCCUAAAAGGUAACGGAGGCGCUCAAAGGUUCCCUCAGAAUGGUUGGAAAUCAUUCAUAGAGUGUAAAGGCAUAAGGGAGCUUGACUGCGAGACCUACAAGUCGAG
rnacentral:rRNA from 1 species